CGGAUCCAAAGUGAAUCAGCCCAAAUCAUCCACGUGGCCUGGCCGAGGCUGAGAGCCGUCCUACCCUGGAUAAGCCCACCCUUUUCCAAAGGCUGAUCCUGGACCGGGGUGGGAAGUAGCUCUGUCGUGGCAUGGAGAAGAGUCGUACGGUUUGUUGAAAAGAGCCCCCACUUACUGGCUGUGAAAACACUGGCCAGGAGCCUAAACCUCCCAUCCAUGCAUUAUAUAUUCAUUUAUCCAUUCAUUCAGCCAACAUCUCCUGAAAGUGACUCAGUGCCCAGCCAGUGCUAGGAGGCACUAGAUGAAGAAACGAGGAGCUGCCCCAGCCACGGCAGCUUCAACGUGUGAGAUCCACCUAGAGCCAGGCAGUGACGGGCUCCAUCCACCGGCUCCCUGACUCUGGACCUUCACUGAUGUAAUUCCUAGUCUGCCUGAGGAUGCAAAGACAGCAUUUGUGAAAAGCAGGGGCCACGGGGCCCAGCGAGCAGUUAAGUGCUCCGCAACUGGAAAUCGAUGGCCUUGCUAACAAGCACCCAGCUGCCCCUCACACAUAGUCACCACCCUUUUAUCCCCUUUUGUUGCUUCCAUGGCAAUUACAUUGCACGUAUGCGCAUUUGUUGCAGUUUUUCUCUCCCUCACUCCCCAUGUCCCAGACUGAGGCUGGGGGAACCUGGUCACGGGUCUCUUGCUCCUCCUGAAUCACCAGGGCUUGGGGUGGCUUUAGGAACGCCAGCACUCAUACCAUGGACUGCACUGCGGAAUGGCUUCACAUGCACUUAAUCCCGGGCGCAGCACCGGCAGGCAGGCGGUACUACUGACACGUGCUACAACAUGGAUGAGCCUUGAGGACAUUAUGCCGAGUGAAAUAAGCCAGACACAAAAAGACAAACAUGGUGCUUGUACUACUAGGCUCAUAUUAUAGACGAAGAGACCCAACCCAGAGAGGUUAAGCAACUUGCCGAGGGCACAGAGUGGAAAAGCGGCAAAGCCGGGAUUCGAACCCGGGUGUCCGGCUCUCCAAACUGGCGGUGGAUGGCGGCUGCCGGAGCGAGAGUGCUGGAAUGAAUCGAUACGUCAAUCAGUGAACGGGCGACGGGGUCAGUCCAGUCCCCUCCCCCGGCGCGGCGGCUCAGCACCGGGACAAAGGCCGGGCGGGGGCCGGACGUGG
rnacentral:lncRNA from 10 species